GCACCGCUAGCUCAGUUGGUAGAGCACCUGACUCUUAAUCAGGG
rnacentral:tRNA from 1 species